GUUGAGUUGCCAAGGAUUCAAAAUAGCAAAAAGAGAUUUCCAUGCAGGGUUGACAAUCAGGAUGUAACUAUUAACAGGUUUGUAUUCUACAUAAAUACCAAAGGAUUUUUUUAUCAUGUCAGAAGCAAAUUGAAAACAUACUGCAAGUCGCUUCUGGUGUGAGAGAAUCAGCCAUCUACAGAGACGUUGCCCAGGGGACACCUGGAUGUGUUAACAUCCUGUGGGAGGCUUCUCUCAUGUCACCACAUGGAAGCUGGGGCUGACAAAUGGGAGCUCACCCCGUUUCACAGAUUCAAAUCACCGGCCUUCAGAUCUUCAGAUCAGCAGUUCAGCAAGCCACGAUGGCACAAUGGGUUCCUUGUGCUGGCUGAACUGCUGACUAAAGAAUAUUGAUUCAGUGAACUUUACCAUGAAACCAGAUGCUUCAGGAACAUCAUGGCACACCACCUCUGAAUUUUCCUUGCCAAAGAGGAGGAGGAAGAAGAAGAAGAAGAAGAAGAAGAAGAAGUUUAUUUAUAUCCCACCUCCAUCUCCCCCAAAGGGGACUCGGGUGGCUUACAGCAAAAUCAGAUACAAAAACAACAACAAAAUAUGAAACAUCACAAUACAAUAACGAAAACCAAUAAUAAUAUAUACACAGUAACCGAAAAAACAGAAACGCAGUAUUAAAACAUCAAAAUAAAAACAAUGAGGUUGCAAUAGUGGAUAAGCAAAGUGCACAUUAUGAAUUGCAAAUUCAGAAAUAGAUAAAGUGCAACAGAUUCAUUUAAGGUCACAUUGGGUUGGGAGGAGCCCUGAAUUAAUGAGUUUGGGGAUUCAAUAACUUCUAUUCAUGAUGCUUCCUGUGUGGAGUUUGACCUGUCUUCUGUACCUAAUUCUGAUUAUUUCCUAUCACUUAGGCUGCAUCUGCAUAGCAAAAGUAAUGAAGUUUGACACCACUUUAAUAGCCAUGGCUCAAUUUUAUGAUACCCUGCGAUUUGUAGUUUGGUGAGGCACUGGCUCUCUUUGCCAGAGAAGGUGAAAAACGACUACCAUGAUUCCGUAGCAUUGAGCCAUGGAAGUGAAUAUGGUGUCAAGCUGCAUUAAUUCUGAUGCGUAGGGCACAUUUACAUUAACCACUAACCACAGAGGCUGGAUGUUGGGGGUGCUUUGAAUGCGAUUUUCCUGCUUCUUGGCAGGGGGGUUGGACUAGAUGGCCCAUGAGGUCUCUUCCAACUUUAUGAUUCUAUGAUUCUAUGACUUGCCAUUCUCAAUAGGCUCAAGCAAAAGCAAACCACUGAAUACACAGCUACCUUGUUUAUUUUUCUUUAUAAAUGUGUUUGCCCAUCAUGACCACACUCUAAUGUUACUAUGCAUCCCAGUUUCCAUUUGAGAAAUGUUGGAACAUAUUACUCUGCUCAGAAAUAAACCUCACUAUAUUUAAUGAGGUUUGCAUAAGAUCACGGGUUUAGGCAGCAUUUUUAAAAGAAAAACAGCUCUCUGUGUAAUGUAUAGAUACUAGCUUUGGUGAGUUCACAACCCAGGCUUCUGCUGUGGCUUGGGCAGUUUCAUUAAAUGACAAAUCUUUUAUGGUGAGCCCUUCACACAGUCAGCCUGAUCAUGAUUACAGGACACGUUCCACAACUCAGCAUGGAAGGAGGAUUCUAGGAAUGAGAUAGCAAGCAUAAGAAAUCAAUUUUGUGGGAAGGAGACAACAUUCAGGGAC
rnacentral:lncRNA from 1 species